rnacentral:rRNA from 1 species
UGGGGAAUCUUGCGCAAUGGGCGAAAGCCUGACGCAGCCAUGCCGCGUGAGUGAUGAAGGCCUUAGGGUUGUAAAACUCUUUCACCGGGGACGAUAAUGACGGUACCCGGAGAAGAAGCCCCGGCUAACUUCGUGCCAGCAGCCGCGGUAAUACGAAGGGGGCCUAGCGUUGCUCGGAAUUACUGGGCGUAAAGGGCGCGUAGGCGGAUCAGCAAGUUGGGGUGAAAGCCCGGGGCUCACCUCGGAAUUGCCUUCAAACUGCUGAUCUAGAGUACGGGAGAGGUGUGUGGAACUCCGAGUGUAGAGGUGAGAUUCGUAGAUAUUCGGAAGAACACCAGUGGCGAAGGCGACACACUGGCCCGUUACUGACGCUGAGGCGCGAAACGCGUGGGGAGCAAAUCAGAUUAGAGUACCCUGGUAGUCCACGCUGUAAACGAUGAUUGCUAGUUGUCGGCAGGCAUGCCUGUCGG